rnacentral:rRNA from 1 species
GAUGAACGCUGGCGGCGUGCCUAAUACAUGCAAGUCGAGCGAACAGAUGAGGAGCUUGCUCCUCUGACGUUAGCGGCGGACGGGUGAGUAACACGUGGAUAACCUACCUAUAAGACUGGGAUAACUUCGGGAAACCGGAGCUAAUACCGGAUAAUAUAUUGAACCGCAUGGUUCAAUAGUGAAAGACGGUUUUGCUGUCACUUAUAGAUGGAUCCGCGCCGCAUUAGCUAGUUGGUAAGGUAACGGCUUACCAAGGCAACGAUGCGUAGCCGACCUGAGAGGGUGAUCGGCCACACUGGAACUGAGACACGGUCCAGACUCCUACGGGAGGCAGCAGUAGGGAAUCUUCCGCAAUGGGCGAAAGCCUGACGGAGCAACGCCGCGUGAGUGAUGAAGGUCUUCGGAUCGUAAAACUCUGUUAGUAGGGAAGAACAAAUGUGUAAGUACCUAUGCACGUCUUGACGGUACCUAAUCAGAAAGCCACGGCUAACUACGUG